AUUUCCCUGCCCUGCGCGUGAUGUUCCGACUAAAUCCUUGAACCGUAGUUAUACGAUCCCGGGACACAAGUUGCGGUUGUGGCCGACAGGCCUUUACUGGAAGUCGAAAGCAACCCGGCCCGUCCCACAUGUUACAAAACAUGUUCAUAGGAUAUGUCACACACGGCAAGGGUGGGGGCUAU
rnacentral:other from 1 species